rnacentral:miRNA from 1 species
UUCUUUUGUUAUUUGUUGAGACAGGGUCUCUCUGUAUAGCCCUGGGUGGCUUGGUACUCACUAUGUAGUCCAAGCUAGCCUCAAACCCAUGGCAAUUCUCUUGCUUGAGCCUC